GCAGACAGCGAGGCUGCUCGGCAGUAAAUCUUAGCUCAGUUAAUAUUUCCACAUGUCUGGUGAAUAACCUUGGGAGGCCAAGAGCCCAGACAGUUUGAAGCAGGUGCAUCAGCAUGUGCUUUCCUCUCAUAUUCUGUUUGGCUUCUUUGCACCAAAUUCAUGUGCUCAUCUUGUACAUACUAAUUUUACAUGAGCUGAACUUGGCUUGAGGGCAAGGAAUAGCCCUGAUGUGCUGUUGGCUGGAGACAGCAUGAAUAACUAUGGGAGUCAGUCGGAUACAAUACAUGUGCAAAGACCUUACAAAGAGCUUACAAAUGUGGCUUUGUAACUCAAAGGGAACCGGUUGCUCUCUUAAAUUCUAACUCUUAGGAGGGGGGCACCUGGGUGGCUCAGUUGGUUAAGCCUCUGCCUUCAGUCCAGGUCAUGAUGCCCGGGUCCUGGGAUCCAGCCCUGCGUCAGGCUCCCUGCUCAGAGACAGAGCAAGUCAUGUUCUGUGACCUGAAAAGAGGUCAAGCUACCUUUAGAAGCAUGGUUAUGCUGAGGAGUAAUGGUGAAUAUUGUUCAUGCAAACUUCAUGAAAUCAAACUGAGGGUCAUGAUAUAAUUAAUCAAACUCAUGAUUUCACCUGGAUAGAAAGAAGUCUGUGGAAGUAAACAAUGUGUUUGGAAGGAAGAACAGAAAGAAUGUUUUGAAAACUUGAUAAAAACGUAAAACCCACUGUGUUGAAACACUGUUGAUGGAUUUACCUGAUGUAAUAAUUUCUGUAUCCAAAAUCAUCACCUCUAAGUUGCUCUAACUUCAGUGAAAUUUUAUAAGCAAAGACCAAUGCAUUCUUGUACGAACAGGGACUACUCACAACAUUUUCAGGGAUGAGUCACUGUAAUUACAGGUCCCAUGGGCAUUCUGGCUGAAUUUGAGCAGCAUAAAAUAAGUUUUCUUACUGAUCAAAGUUGCAUUUUGGUGAUUGCUGAGUCCUAUAUAAUUUCUGUGAUAAUAUCAUUGUAUAAUAUUAUUAAUAAUGAUUAUAUAAUUAUAUAAUAUUAUUAGAUUAUGUUAAU